rnacentral:rRNA from 1 species
UACGUAGGGUGCAAGCGUUAAUCGGAAUUACUGGGCGUAAAGCGUGCGCAGGCGGUUUUGUAAGUCUGAUGUGAAAUCCCCGGGCUCAACCUGGGAAUUGCAUUGGAGACUGCAAGGCUAGAAUCUGGCAGAGGGGGGUAGAAUUCCACGUGUAGCAGUGAAAUGCGUAGAGAUGUGGAGGAACACCGAUGGCGAAGGCAGCCCCCUGGGUCAAGAUUGACGCUCAUGCACGAAAGCGUAGGGAGCAAACAGG